rnacentral:rRNA from 1 species
CAAUAGCGUAUAUUUAAGUUGCUGCAGUUAAAAAGCUCGUAGUUGGAUUUCGGGUGGGAAUGGCCGGUCCGCCGUUUCGGUGUGCACUUGCUACGCCCACCUUGCUGCCGGGGACGUGCUCUUGAGUUCACGCUCGGGACACGGAGUCGGCGAGGUUACUUUGAGUAAAUUAGAGUGUUCAAAGCAGGCCUACGCCCUGAAUACAUUAGCAUGGAAUAACACGAUAGGACUCUGGCCUAUCUUGUUGGUCUGUAGGACCGGAGUAAUGAUUAAGAGGGACAGUCGGGGGCAUUCGUAUUUCAUUGUCAGAGGUGAAAUUCUUGGAUUUAUGAAAGACGAACUACUGCGAAAGCAUUUGCCAAGGAUGUUUUCAUUAA